CUGCAUGGCUCCCAGUCCCAGCUCCAACAGUAUACAUAUUAAUACUCGCCUGGCUUUCUUCUUCAUUAGGAGCCACAUCUAGGUUUCAAAGAGAGUCCGAGCAAUUAAAAGGGAAGUUAGGAAGAGCAGGGCUGAUGUAAGAAUAAAGGUACUUAUCACAUCAGUUAUAGCACUCCUCUGUGUGUAGCCAACACUAAUUACUCCUGUUGAGUAAAUACUAAAGUGCCUUGGACGUCUCCUUGUAUUCUAUACACCAUUACAGAGGAUGGGGAACUGUUGUGCGUUAUAAUACUGGCAUGAAAAGAAAAACAGCAGGGCAUUCUUCUCCUGUUGGCUGGAUAAGAUGUGUAAAGACCAGGUGGUGGUGGGAGUCCAUUAAAGAGAAGGAGUGGCUGGAGAGGGAAUCCAUCGUCACCACCACGCAGGCCAAAGAGAGGGGCUGAAGUACCCCUCUACCCACUGCUGAUGUCCCUUCAUGUUUGGAGCUCUACAGUACCAACCACAAUGCAUCUCUCUCAAACAGAGAGAGCCAUACAUUAUAGGUCUGUGACAAUGGCCUAUGUACUGCAGACUUAGUGUACUCUGACUGUGUGAUUCUGAUGUUGAUGACAUGACCAACAAGACAGAUAUUUGUUUCAGGGCAUUUUUAGGAUGUACUUGUCUCCUUUACGAUUGUCAAAUUGCUUUAGAGAGUGCAAUAGGUAUUGUGUAUGUGUUAUCAUGUAUCCAACAGCUGGGCCAAGCUCUAUGUAUCCCUAUGCUUCAUACAGUUAAAGUAUAUUCCUAGUAUACACUUUCCCUCACUUGUUUAAGGGUUGCAGACAUGGUUGUGCAUUAGGCCACAGCACCCUUCUCUGCUAGUGCCAUUUUACUUAAUUCCAAUAAAAUAUGGUGGAGCAGGGCUCUCUAAAAGCCUCUCCCUGGCCAGGAGGCCUGCUGGGAGGGGAGACUGACUAUCUGACCCCAUGGGCCACAGUGUGCCACAGUAAGAGCGCACAGGUUUGAUUGGGACCAUUACAUCCACACAAUCCAAAGACAGAGAGAGUUAAAAAGGGUAUUUGCCAGGUAGCCAAUCCCUAUGCCUAUAUUAAACUGACAUUUUGUAAUGUCAUUAAUGCACAUUCACUUCUGCAGCUUUUGGUGUCAUUGUACCCAAAAAAUACAUAGCACAGCUUUUAUACAAGGACAUAGGGUGUCAGAUCAACAUAUGAGAAGAUGCUUCACCAGAUCCAAUACUUAUUCUCCCCUCACACACAGAACAGUCUGGCCGGCCACUACUCUCAUCUCCAUGUAUGCAAUACAAACCUUCAUGGCAUAUUGCAAUAUGUACCGAACCUUGUUUGGAGUACAUUAACCUGGCUCACAACAAUAGAUAUGCACACCCUGAGGGGGAUAGGGGUUUAUUGACUUCCUGCAAUGUCUUCUCGUCUGUUGGUUAACUGGACACGUUUCAGUACGCAGGAAUGCGGGUGCAUUUGGAAAGCUAAAAACACGUUGAAAUGAUUUCAUCUGAAGAGGGAUUGGGAUGUCUCUUUAAUGCUGGAGGGGUUAUUUAGUGGUGGUUAUUUUCUUACCAGUGGUCUACCAAGGGAUUGGAAGGAUAUGUGAAGAAAAGCAAAUGAGCAAUUACAAUGUAUUAUAGACACUGACACUAUCUAAUAUGGAUAUUAUGUCAGUCAAGAGUCUGAUUUUCACCAAUAAAGAGUUACAUACCAAAAUA